AGAGUUUGAUCCUGGCUCAGAUUGAACGCUGGCGGCAGGCCUAACACAUGCAAGUCGAACGGUAACAGGAAGAAGCUUGCUUCUUUGCUGACGAGUGGCGGACGGGUGAGUAAUGUCUGGGAAACUGCCUGAUGGAGAGGGAUAACUACUGGAAACGGUAGCUAAUACCGCAUAACGUCGCAAGACCAAAGAGGGGGACCUUCGGGCCUCUUGCCAUCGGAUGUGCCCAGAUGGGAUUAGCUAGUAGGUGGGGUAACGGCUCACCUAGGCGACGACCCCUAGCUGGUCUGAGAGGAUGACCAGCCACACUGGAACUGAGACACGGUCCAGACUCCUACGGGAGGCAGCAGUGGGGAAUAUUGCACAAUGGGCGCAGGCCUGAUGCAGCCAUGCCGCGUGUAUGAAGAAGGCCUUCGGGUUGUAAAGUACUUUCAGCGGGGAGGAAGGGAGUAAAGUUAAUACCUUUGCUCAUUGACGUUACCCGCAGAAGAAGCACCGGCUAACUCCGUGCCAGCAGCCGCGGUAAUACGGAGGGUGCAAGCGUUAAUCGGAAUUACUGGGCGUAAAGCGCACGCAGCGGUUUGUUAAGUCAGAUGUGAAAUCCCCGGGCUCAACCUGGGAACUGCAUCUGAUACUGGCAAGCUUGAGUCUCGUAGAGGGGGGUAGAAUUCCAAGUGUAGCGGUGAAAUGCGUAGAGAUCUGGAGGAAUACCGUGGCGANGGCGGCCCCUGGACGAAGACUGACGCUCAGUGCGAAGCGUGGGGAGCAAACAGAUUAGAUACCUGGUAGUCCACGCGUAACGAUGUCGACUUGGAGUNNGCCCUGAGGCGNGCUUCCGGAGCUACGCCNUAGUCGACCGCUGGGA
rnacentral:rRNA from 1 species